rnacentral:rRNA from 1 species
GAUGAACGCUGGCGGCGUGCUUAACACAUGCAAGUCGAACAAAGAUGCCGGAGUGCUUGCACUUUGGCAGACUGAGUGGCGGACGGGUGAGUAACGCGUGGGUAACCUGCCUUAUACAGGGGGAUAACAGUUGGAAACGACUGCUAAUACCGCAUAAGCGCACGGUUCCGCAUGGAACAGUGUGAAAAACUCCGGUGGUGUGAGAUGGACCCGCGUCUGAUUAGCCAGUUGGCGGGGUAACGGCCCACCAAAGCGACGAUCAGUAGCCGGCCUGAGAGGGUGAACGGCCACAUUGGGACUGAGACACGGCCCAAACUCCUACGGGAGGCAGCAGUGGGGAAUAUUGCACAAUGGGGGAAACCCUGAUGCAGCGACGCCGCGUGAGUGAAGAAGUAUUUCGGUAUGUAAAGCUCUAUCAGCAGGGAAGAAAGUGACGGUACCUGAAUAAGAAGCCCCGGCUAACUACGUG